rnacentral:rRNA from 1 species
UACGGAGGGUCCGAGCGUUAAUCGGAAUUACUGGGCGUGAAGCGUGCGCAGGCGGUUUGUUAAGCGAGAUGUGAAAGCCCUGGGCUCAACCUAGGAAUAGCAUUUCGAACUGGCGAACUAGAGUCUUGUAGAGGGGGGUAGAAUUCCAGGUGUAGCGGUGAAAUGCGUAGAGAUCUGGAGGAAUACCGGUGGCGAAGGCGGCCCCCUGGACAAAGACUGACGCUCAGGUGCGAAAGCGUGGGGAGCAAACAGG